rnacentral:lncRNA from 1 species
AUAAUUCUCAGCUAAAGGAAGCAUACUGAACACAAUGUUGUAGAUGCAGCACUGAGGUGGCAUCUACAAGACCAUUCUCAGCUACCAGUAGGAGACUGCUAUUUAGGUAAGUAGGAAAAUUUGUUUAAAGUUGGCAACUAAAAAGCUCAGGGAGUUGUAGGGUAUCAGAGGGUUUCUUUUUUCCUUUUCUUCAGUUUCUAAGAGGAAUACUGGGCCAGGACAGUCUUGUCUGGGUAGGCUAUUAAUACAGUUUGGAUGUGUGUCCCUGCCCAACUCUCAUACUGAAAUGUAACCCCCAGUGUUGGAAGUGGGCUUGGUGAGAGGUGAUUGUAUCAUGAGGGUGAAUUUCUCGUGAAUGGUUUAGCACCAUCCCUUUUGCUACUGUCCCACCAAGUGAUAGUGAUGGUGAGUGAGUUCUCAUGAAUUCUGGCUGUUUAAAAGUGCGUAGCGCCUCCCGUCUCUCUGUCUUGCUCCUGCUGCGCCCUGUGACAUGCCUGCUUCCCCUUCGCCUUCCACCAUAAUUGUAAGUUUCCUGAGGCCUCCUCAGAGGCUGAGCAGAUGCCAGCAUCGUGCUUCCUGUACAGCCUGCAGAACCGUGAUCCAAUUAAACCUCUUUACUUUACAAAUUACCCAGUCUCAGCUAUUCUUUAUAGCAAUGUGAGAACGGCCUAACACAGCUACUGACCAGGCCUGGCUUGCUACUCCCUGGAAUUUUACAAAGCACUUUUUCUACCCUUCCAUCCCUCUCUUCUCCAUCUUGCAAUGUACCUCCUUUUUUCUUUUUUUUCCCUUUUUCAGAAGUAAGGAAGGGAAGAAGGGAGACGUCAGAGAAGGGUGGGGUGGAGAGGAGAGAUAGAGAAUCAUGGGAGGAAGAGGAAGGGGGACUAGCUGGGUAAGAGUGAUGUGAUUAGAGGCCUAUAGAAAAGAGGAAGAAAAAAAUAAAAAGAAGCAGAGUUUUUUUGGGUUACAGCAAGGAUUGGAGCUCUAACUUGGUGACUUAAGGUAGGUUCCUUUAUGCUUUCAGCACCGCAAGUUUAACAAACAGAAAAGAGAUGGUCUGGUUGAUCUGAACUUACUUGAAUAUUUCCCCAGGGUCAAAUGAGAGUAAACUCGUG